rnacentral:rRNA from 12 species
UUAAUGUAAGAUUUCAUUAACUAGUGUACACAGGAGAAUAAUUAUUACAUCUAAAUUGUUAAAGGCGUACUCAAAUAAAAUUCAAUCCUAGCACAAGAAUUUAUAAUCU